rfam:Magnetococcus sp. MC-1, complete genome.
CUACCGGCAUCGAGAGGUGCUGGGAUGGGUGUGCAGAAGUCAGCCGAGGGCAUGUCACAUGAACGCC